rnacentral:misc_RNA from 1 species
CGGACUACAAGGGUUUCUAAUCCUGUUCGCUCCCCACGCUUUCGCUCCUCAGUGUCAGUAUUGGCCCAGAGACCUGCCUUCGCCAUCGGUGUUCCUCCUGAUAUCUGCGCAUUCCACCGCUACACCAGGAAUUCCAGUCUCCCCUACCAAACUCCAGCUCGACCGUAUCGGAUGCAGGUCAGGGGUUGAGCCCCUGAUUUUCACAUCCGACGUAUCGAACCACCUACGAGCUCUUUACGCCCAAUAAUUCCGGACAACGCUUGCACCCUAUGUAUUACCGCGGCGGCUGGCAC